rnacentral:rRNA from 1 species
GAUGAACGCUAGCUACAGGCUUAACACAUGCAAGUCGAGGGGUAACGAGAGGGAAGCUUGCUUUCCUUGUCGACGACCGGCGCACGGGUGAGUAACGCGUAUCCAACCUGCCCCCAACUAGGGAAUAACCUUGCGAAAGUAAGACUAAUACCCUAUAAUUUCCUCAGAUGUCAUCUGACGAGGAAUAAAGAUUUAUCGGUUGUGGAUGGGGAUGCGUCUGAUUAGAUUGUUGGCGGGGUAACGGCCCACCAAGGCAACGAUCAGUAGGGGUUCUGAGAGGAAGGUCCCCCACACUGGAACUGAGACACGGUCCAAACUCCUACGGGAGGCAGCAGUGAGGAAUAUUGGUCAAUGGGCGGAAGCCUGAACCAGCCAAGUAGCGUGCAGGAUGACGGCCCUAUGGGUUGUAAACUGCUUUUAUACAGGAAUAAAGUUAGCCACGUGUGGUUAUUUGUAGGUACUGUAUGAAUAAGGACCGGCUAAUUCCGUGCCAGCAGCCGCGGUAA